ACACCUGUACCUCAGUGGUAAAGCACCUGCUUUGGCUGCAGAAGGUCCCAAGUUCAAUUCCUGGAUGGUUUU